rnacentral:tRNA from 1 species
GCGCCUUUAGCUCAGUUGGUAGAGCAGCUGACUCUUAAUCAGCGGGCCCUGGGUUCGAGUCCCUGAAGGCGCACCA